rnacentral:lncRNA from 1 species
CGAGAGCCACUCCACUCCAACCUGGGCAACAGAGCAAGACUCCGUCUCCAGAAAAAAAAGAGAGAGAAGGGGGUUAGGAUUGGAAUGGGACACACAAAAAGGACUUCUAAGGUAAGGAGCUGGUUGAAUUCAAGCAUGCAAAACCCAUGGGUAUAGAAGGCCAACUGUAAUAAUUUUGUCUGCUCCAUGAAGAAUAACGAAUAGACUCAAAGGGAUAAUCAAAGAAGCAGCAAGACCACUUAGGAAGCUCCUGCAAUCAUCCAGGAGAUUAUUUUAAACUUGAUGGAUCAAUCCUCUUAAGGAUAACGAAUUUGGAUUUGCAAGAAUUCAAGGCAAUUCCGGGUAACAUUUUUUUCUUCACUUCAAAAUUAUAAAAUUUAAAGAUCUCAUAAAAUCAACAGAGUAUGAGAAGAAUAAUUAAAUAUGAGCCAUAAUUAUUUGGACUUUUUGGUUAGUUUCAGUUGGUCACAUACAUGAUUUUAUCAUGUUGUAUAUCUGCGUGUAUCAGUUAGGUUCACAAGAUAAACUCUAGGGCCAAAUACUUAAUGCCCUUUCAUAUUGGAAAUGCUUCUAUUAAAGAUACAUAAGACAGGCUGGGCAUGGUGGCUCACGCCUGUAAUCUCAGCACUUUGGGAGGCUGAGACGGGCAGAUCACUUGACAU